CUGACGGCGAGAGGAGGAGGAGGAGCCCAGCGGCCUGGCCCGGCCCAUCCACAGAUGGACAAGGAACAAAGACAAAUUCACCAAGAUAAAAUGGCAGAGAGGGUAGCCCUGGAAAAACUGGUAUGGCCAAAUAUAUGGUCUUGGGAUGCUCUGGCAGAAAGGGAAUUCGUAUCUUCCUGGGUGAUGGAGUGGUGUGGGGCGGGCAUUCUGCUGGCAGCAAGCAUGAAGCUGGAGAGAACUUUGCCUCCUUCCUGAAGCACUUCCUGCUCCUAUGUCCCACCAGGAAGCCCAAGUCCUGGCAAAACUAAAAGAUCACAAACCUAUAAAGAUUAUUUUUUCUCUUUGGAAAUUUUACUUAUAAUUUAUGUAUAAUUUGUUUUUAUGAGUUUGUCUGAGGCUCUGUGCCUUUGCUGCUGCAAUUUUAAUUGUACCUGAAUCUCACCUCACCUCACCUCUGCAUUUGACAAUAAACUUGAC